rnacentral:rRNA from 1 species
GUGAGGAAUAUUGGUCAAUGGGCGGGAGCCUGAACCAGCCAAGUCGCGUGAAGGAAGAAGGAUCUAUGGUUCGUAAACUUCUUUUGCAGGGGAAUAAAGUGCAGGACGUGUCCUGUUUUGUAUGUACCCUGAGAAUAAGGAUCGGCUAACUCCGUGCCAGCAGCCGCGGUAAUACGGAGGAUCCGAGCGUUAUCCGGAUUUAUUGGGUUUAAAGGGUGCGUAGGUGGUUUGAUAAGUCAGCGGUGAAAGUUUGCAGCUUAACUGUAAAAAUGCCGUUGAAACUGUCGGACUUGAGUGUAAAUGAGGUAGGCGGAAUGCGUGGUGUAGCGGUGAAAUGCAUAGAUAUCAUGCAGAACUCCGAUUGCGAAGGCAGCUUACUAAGCUACAACUGACACUGAAGCACGAAAGCGUGGGGAUCAAACAGGAUUAGAAACCCGGGUAGUCC